UUUAAAGCUAUGUAAGAAGUGUCUACAGUAUUUAUGUAGUGAUUGAAAGCGUGAACAUUUCUGUGGAGUUACUACAACACCUACAACAAUCUAUAGUUCUAGUGAACACUUGAUAAAGAGCAUCGAUAAUAAACCAUUCCAAUGUCGCACUCAUCUGAAGCAAGUCGUCCGUUUUUGUUUUACUUGCACUCUCCAGCUGUGCGAGGAAUGUCUAGAUAACGAUCUUUCUCAGCAUACAAAUCACGUGAUAUACAACGUAGAUAACGCUGCUAAAGAGAUACGAAGACAAACAGAUGAAAAAAUCGCAUCACUUAAAGUUAAGAUAGAAAAGGCUAGAAGGCAAAGACAUGACCUUGAUAAACAAAGGUUCAGUUCAACAGACAGACAGAAUACUAGACGACAGGUCACAAACCUCGCCUCUAAUCUUCCUUCCGCCAUAGUCGCCGCUAUUGAAGACCAGGCACGAUUAGAUAAAACAGUAGCUGCCGAAAGUGAACAAAGCUUCAGAAGACUAUUGAUGUUUGGACGGAAACCAAUCGUACACUACAUAAAAUUUCUACAGCACCUCACAACCUAGAAAAUAUCCAUCUUUUCUGUAAAUAUAUAAAAGAUUAUGAAAAUUUAGAUUUACCUUUUAUAAAGACAAGAGCUGAUUUUCCUGAUGAUAGAAAAUUCCAACACUCAGAACUUGUCCAAACCGAGUUAAGAUCAUUAGUGGAAUACUUAGAAGCAUUAACUGGUAUCAAUGUUCCCUUGCCUGUGAAAACGCAAGAAGAAAUAGAAAGAUUGCAACCGCCUAUGAUAGAGAAAUGACAAUGGUUGAUUUGGCUACUAACCCAGCGUCCAGACCACAAUCAAGAGUUAGUAUAAAGACAAACGUGACAGCGACCACCAUGCUGACUUAAUACGAAGAAGAUUCCAUCAUGUAUAUCAAAAGUGAAAAUCAAGCUUUGAAAAUGGA